CCUACGGGUGGCAGCAGUGGGGAAUAUUGGGCAAUGGGCGCAAGCCUGACCCAGCAAAGCCGCGUGAAGGAAGAAGGCUUUCGGGUUGUAAACUUCUUUUCUCAAGGACGAAGCAAGUGACGGUACCUGAUGAAUAAGCCACGGCUAACUACGUGCCAGCAGCCGCGGUAAUACGUAGGUGGCAAGCGUUAUCCGGAUUUACUGGUUGUAAAGGGCGUGUAGGCGGGACUGCAAGUCAGAUGUGAAACCCACGGGCUCAACCUGUGGCCUGCAUUUGAAACUGUAGGUCUUGAGUACUGGAGAGGCAGACGGAAUUCCUAGUGUAGCGGUGAAAUGCGUAGAGAUUAGGAGGAACACCAGUGGCGAAGGCGGUCUGCUGGACAGCAACUGACGCUGAGGCGCGAAAGCGUGGGGAGCAAACAGGAUUAGAUACCCCUGUAGUC
rnacentral:rRNA from 1 species